rnacentral:lncRNA from 1 species
AGUUGUCAAUUAAUAUAAUAAAUAAUAAAAAUAGUAUUUUGGUACAUAAAAUCCUAAUAAAUUAGUGGACUCUUGGAGGAAGUCCAAUUUAGAUGGAAACAAUGCAUCAAUAAUUGCACAAAACGACAAACAUUUAACAGUGGUUGAUGUGAGAAAGGUGAACCAAUUAAAUUACCUUUACUGAAAGCCACUCUCUGGCCUUGACAGGAUCUUCUCGCGGCUCAAAAGCCGUCCUGAAGUAAGCCUCGGCCGACCUUGGUUCUACUUUGAACUUCUUGCAAAAGGGCAGCCACUGCUUCGAGAAAGUUGCAGCCUCUAACAUGGCAUAAAACGUUAAGUCUGACCCUCCAUCGUCUGAUAGAUAGAUGCUUAACUUCUCUGGCGGAUAAUCAUAAGCCAUCACUGAUAACACUGUGUUGAUCACCAGGCUCGGUGGCUCUAUCAGUGGAUCCGCCGUGCAUACAAAUAUAUCUACGCCAGGUAGUUCUUUAUCGAAUCUGUUAUAUUGUUAGAGAUUAAAACAAAGUAUAUAAAAAAAUACAGUCUGAUAUGAUUAAACACACGCAGUUAUCAGAAACGAAAUAAACUUUAUUCUUUCGAUUUAUUAUUUUUUUCUUAAAUUUGCUCCUUUUUCUUGUUAGAAUAGCUUAAGAUAUAUGUUCGAGAUACCUUUGAGAGAGCCUGUCUUUGUAAGGAAGACGGUAGACAGAGUCCCAUCUACAAACUGCGGUGAGAAACCAAUAAAAACUGAACCAUAGCUCAGCAAGAAACAACCCAAUCCAAGUCCAUCUCUCAACUUUU